GUGGUGCAACUUGCACAGCAUCUUCCUGCUGAGACUUCUGCUCCUCAUUCUCACUCACCGUCGCCUCACCUGCUGGGACAGAGAGAGAAACCUCAAACAGGGAUGGAAAAGGGAAGGGCAAACCAAAAGAAGUGCUGGAGAGAUGUCAAAAACCAGGAAGUGAAUUCCCCUAACUCUUCCCCAAAAGGGGAGAGAGGAGGGGAUCAGUUCUGUCUUCCUAUCAAAUCCAAAGAAUCAGUGGGAAGGUGGAAAGCUACUGACAUGUGUCAGUUAGGAUCUGUAGGAAGCCAUAAGCUAUAUAUACCCUGAGGAUACAACACCUGCUGGGGACUAUCCUCCUGAACUCAGAGAGCUCCCAAGGUCAUUGUAGGGUAUCCCAGAUUUUUCCAUCAGGCACUUACCGAUUCGGAGUUAGUUUAAUGUUUCCUCACCUGUGCAGGGACGUCUCAGGAUCUCUCUUUCCCCUGAACCCUGGAGGUCUGGGACCCAUGGCUCUUCCCCUUGUGUCCAGCUGGGAGAUCACAUCAGGUUUGGAAACUGCUCAGAUGAAAGAAAACAAAUGAGAGCAGGAGUCCUGGGCUACCUCGGGCAACAAUGAGCACAUUUUUGAUGAGGAGGAGAAUGGGAGACAGACGAGCGGUGGAUCCAUUCUGCCCAAGAGACAAGCACCGUUUUAAACUCUGGAGCCCAUUCCUUCACAGGAUCAGGUAGCAGCCGAGCAUGAUGCCAGGGAAGGCGCCUCUGGGAAUGAAGAGAACAGGCCAUCAUCGAGUGAUCCACCCUCUGUUGUCCACACCCAGCUUCUGGCAGUCACAGGCUAGGAACACGCAGAGCUUGGCGUUGCAUCCCUGACCAGCUUGGCUAAUAGCCAUUGAUGGACCUAGCGUGAGGAACUGAUCUAAUUCCUUUUUGAACCCACUGAGAGUUUUGGCCUUCAUAGCAUAAUGAACACACAUCUACAGCCCCAAGAUUUUAUACUUAUCUCAUACGUAAAAUUAUACACAAUUUUUGCACUUUUUUUCCCAAAUCCCCCAAACUCUCCUGGCCCUCCUCGCGGUCUGCCAUCUCUGACAGAACAUGGACCCUGCACGGCGCUGCACUAUUGUCAUGAGCGUUGCAAGCCCAGGGUGCAGGACCCUGCAGUAUUUGCAGAGCUGCAGGAAUAGAAGUGGGGGAUGUGAUGAGUCCAUGCAGAACAGCUUGCUGGGGGACAUAGCAACAACCAAUUCAACUUUAAAUGAAUAUUAGACCCGCUCAGCACGAAUGCUAACAUGUUCUCACAUCUUGUAUCAAGUCACUUACUGGACACUGGUUAGGUUUAAAAUUUUCAUGUAUAUUCUCACUCUUGAAUACAACUAUUGAAACAAUUGUAGAAAAAAAUCUAGGUGACAUUCUAUCAUUUAAGCUACUUACUUUUUGCAGUUCACCAAGCUUGGAAUAGAUCAUUUAACUUUUGGAAACAUCCUACUAGGGCAAGACCUCGUGAGUUUAUCCUUCACCGGCCUGGGACUCUUGGGGGGUCACCAUACUAUAAAUAAUAGACAGGAAACUGACUUGAAACAGGAGUGAAACUGACUUAUUGCCAACCCCAAAUUUUCAAAAAUCAUGAAAUUGGCUUAACAAUCAUGACAUUAUGUAAAAAUAAUAGAUUUGGUGUUCUUUGCACAGGCUGACAGAUAGUGGAAUAUCUGUCUCAAUUUUCUCCCUCUCACCUUUCCCAGACUCUGGUCCAGGGGUAGCAAAUUUUAACAGGGCAUCAGCAAUCAUAGAAGAUCAGGGUUGGAAGGGACUUCAGGAGGUCAUCUAGUCCAACCCCCUGUUCAAAGCAGGACCAAUCCCCA